AAUCAACGCUGGCGGCGUGCCUCAGACAUGCAAGUCGAACGAUUAAGACUUCCUUCGGGAAGUGCAUAAAGUGGCGCACGGGUGAGUAACACGUAAGUAAUCUACCUUCGAGUGGGGAAUAACGUUCGGAAACGAACGCUAAUACCGCAUAAUGCAGCGGCAUCGCAAGAUGACAGUUGUUAAAGGAAUUUAUUUCGCUUGAAGAGGAGCUUGCGGCAGAUUAGCUAGUUGGUAAGGUAACGGCUUACCAAGGCUACGAUCUGUAUCCGGUCUAAGAGGACGGUCGGACACACUGACACUGAAUAACGGGUCAGACUCCUACGGGAGGCAGCAGUCGGGAAUUUUGGGCAAUGGGCGAAAGCCUGACCCAGCAACGCCGCGUGAAGGAUGAAGUAUUUCGGUAUGUAAAGCUCUUUUACCAGGGAUGAUAAUGACAGUACCUGGAGAAUAAGCUCCGGCUAAACUCCGUGCCAGCAGCCGCGGUAAU
rnacentral:rRNA from 1 species